GAUGAACGCUGGCGGCGUGCCUAAUACAUGCAAGUCGAGCGAACAGACGAGGAUCUUGCUCCUCUGACGUUAGCGGCGGACGGGUGAGUAACACGUGGAUAACCUACCUAUAAGGCUUGGAUAACUUCGGGAAACCCGAGCUAAUACCGGAUAAUAUAUUUAACCGCAUGGUGCAAGAGUGAAUGGCGGUUUUGCUGUCGCUUAUAGAUUUAUCCGCGCCGCAUUAGCGAGGUGGUAUGGUAACGGCUUACCAAGGCAACGAUGCGUAGCCGACCCGAGAGGGUGAAGGGGGACAGUGGAACUGAGACGCGGUACAGAGACCUACGGGAGGCAGAGGUACGGACUCGACCGAACAGGGCGGAAGACUGAAGGAGCAGCGGAGGCUGAGUGCUGAAGGUCUUCGGAUCGUAAGACUCUGUUAUUAGGGAAGAACAAAUGUGUACGUAACUAUGCACGUUUUGACGGUAGCUGAUAAGAAAGCACCGGCUAACUACGUG
rnacentral:rRNA from 1 species